rnacentral:rRNA from 1 species
GAUGAACGCUGGCGGCGUGCUUAACACAUGCAAGUCGAACGGACUUUAUAUGAAACCUAGUGAUUAUAAAGUUAGUGGCGGACGGGUGAGUAACGCGUGAAUAACCUGCCUUAUACUGGGGGAUAAUCCUUGGAAACGGGGACUAAUACCGCAUAUUGAGCAUUUUCCGCAUGGUAGGUGUUUGAAAGAUUUAUCGCUUAUGGAUGGACUCGCGUCAGAUUAGAUAGUUGGUGAGGUAACGGCUCACCAAGUCGACGAUCUGUAGCCGAACUGAGAGGUUGAUCGGCCACAUUGGGACUGAGACACGGCCCAGACUCCUACGGGAGGCAGCAGUGGGGAAUAUUGGGCAAUGGGCGAAAGCCUGACCCAGCAACGCCGCGUGAAGGAAGAAGGCCUUCGGGUUGUAAACUUCUUUUACCAGGGACGAACACAAUGACGGUACCUGGAGAAAAAGCAACGGCUAACUACGUG